rnacentral:misc_RNA from 1 species
AGCAGCCGCGGUAAUUCCAGCUCCAAUAGCGUAUAUUAAAGUUGUUGCAGUUAAAAAGCUCGUAGUUGAAUUUUGGAUUCUUCCAAUUGGUCCAUCUUUUAGAUGAGUACUGGUUGUGUGGGGUCUAUCCGCCUGGUGAUACGUAAUGUCCUUUAUUGGAUGUUGCGGGUAGUCAGGACCUUUACCUUGAAAAAAUUAGAGUGUUUAAAGCAGGCUUAUGCCGGAAUACAUUAGCAUGGAAUAAUAGAAUAGGACGAAGUUGUUUUAUUUUGUUGGUUUCUAGGACAACCGUAAUGAUUAAUAGGGAUAGUUGGGGGCAUUAGUAUUCAAUUGUCAGAGGUGAAAUUCUUGGAUUUAUUGAAGACUAACUACUGCGAAAGCAUUUGCCAAGGAUGUUUUCAUUAAUCAAGAACGAAAGUUAGGGGAUCGAAGACGAUCAGAUACCGUCGUAGUCUUAACCAUAAACUAUGCCGACUAGGAAUCAGACGAUGUUAAUUUUUUCAAUGACUCGUUUGGCACC